GUGAGGAAUAUUGCACAAUGGGGGCAACCCUGAUGCAGCAACGCCGCGUGGAGGAUGAAGGUCUUUGGAUUGUAAACUCCUUUUCUGCGGGAAGAGGAAGGACGGUACCGCAGGAAUAAGUCACGGCUAACUACGUGCCAGCAGCCGCGGUAAUACGUAGGUGGCGAGCGUUAUCCGGAAUUACUGGGCGUAAAGCGCACGCAGGCGGCGAGACAAGUCUGACGUGAAAUCUCUUGGCUUAACCGGGAGGGGUCGUUGGAAACUGUCUGGCUUGAGGCGAUGAGAGGGACAUGGAAUUCCCGGUGUAGUGGUGGAAUGCGUAGAUAUCGGGAGGAACACCAGAGGCGAAAGCGGUGUCCUGGCAUUGGCCUGACGCUCAUGUGCGAAAGCGUGGGGAGCGAACGGGAUUAGAUACCCCAGUAGUCC
rnacentral:rRNA from 1 species